AGCUCACUAGUCGAGUGACACUGCGCCGAAAAUGUACCGGGGCUAAACAUAUUACCGAAGCUGUGGAUUGUCCUUUGGACAAUGGUAGGAGAGCGUUCUAAGGGCGUUGAAGCAUGAUCGUAAGGACAUGUGGAGCGCUUAGAAGUGAGAAUGCCGGUGUGAGUAGCGAAAGACGGGUGAGAAUCCCGUCCACCGAUUGACUAAGGUUUCCAGAGGAAGGCUCGUCCGCUCUGGGUUAGUCGGGUCCUAAGCUGAGGCCGACAGGCGUAGGCGAUGGAUAACAGGUUGAUAUUCCUGUACCACCUAUAAUCGUUUUAAUCGAUGGGGGGACGCAGUAGGAUAGGCGAAGCGUGCGAUUGGAUUGCACGUCUAAGCAGUAAGGCUGAGUAUUAGGCAAAUCCGGUACUCAUUAAGGCUGAGCUGUGAUGGGGAGAAGACAUUGUGUCUUCGAGUCGUUGAUUUCACACUGCCGAGAAAAGCCUCUAGAUAGAAAAUAGGUGCCCGUACCGCAAACCGACACAGGUAGUCAAGAUGAGAAUUCUAAGGUGAGCGAGCGAACUCUCGUUAAGGAACUCGGCAAAAUGACCCCGUAACUUCGGGAGAAGGGGUGCUCUUUAGGGUUAACGCCCAGAAGAGCCGCAGUGAAUAGGCCCAAGCGACUGUUUAUCAAAAACACAGGUCUCUGCUAAACCGUAAGGUGAUGUAUAGGGGCUGACGCCUGCCCGGUGCUGGAAGGUUAAGAGGAGUGGUUAGCUUCUGCGAAGCUACGAAUCGAAGCCCCAGUAAACGGCGGCCGUAACUAUAACGGUCCUAAGGUAGCGAAAUUCCUUGUCGGGUAAGUUCCGACCCGCACGAAAGGCGUAACGAUUUGGGCACUGUCUCAACGAGAGACUCGGUGAAAUCAUAGUACCUGUGAAGAUGCAGGUUACCCGCGACAGGACGGAAAGACCCCGUGGAGCUUUACUGUAGCCUGAUAUUGAAAUUCGGCACAG
rnacentral:rRNA from 1 species